GCCCAUUUGUACGAGCANCUUGGGGAUGCCAGUCUAGCUUCCACGAAGCAGAUGGCUGGAUAUCUGACUCUUUUCCAGAGUUGGAUAUACGAGCAUUUCCCUAGCAUGGGAAGGAGGCGGUUGGUGUCUUCUUAUGAUGACACCACACCACGUGCGACUAGGUGGCAGAGCCUUCGGCAGAGUUCGACUCUUGCAGAAAUCUGGUCGCAGUUGGAUGGCCUGACAUAUGGUGGAGUUCUAUGGCAUCCAUACGAGGGACAUCGGGGCAUUCAUCCAUUAUUCGGAAUUUGUAUGUAUUCUGGAUGGAUUCGGAUUGGUGACACCCUUUCCCGUCAUUUGCCUGAGCGUGUGAUGAGGCAGUUUGGAUUUUACCAGGAGGACCACCCACUGUCAUUGCAGAUGCAGAUGUAGUCGCUGUUGAUUUGCGUGGUUGCACUUCACAGAUCAUGUUAUUAGGAAUGUGAGACAGGCAUCAUACCCUUUUGAAUGUGUCGAUGGAUACAUACAGUGGUUUAGGAGGGUUUCACAUCCCUGUAUUAUUGUUGCUCCAGCUGAUGCGAGACCGGCUCUUGCGCCUACACAGCGCCCCGAUGUUCCACAGGAGGCACGACGUCAUCGUAGAUCCUCUCCACCUUCACCAUCCGGUGCCUCGGCUAGGUUUAGGCGAAUGGCGAGAAAGUUACAGGCGAUGAUAUCGUGUCGUCAUGUGGCCGAAGGUACAGUUGCACAUCAGAUGACGGUGGAAUUGCUUCAAGAAGCUAAUGAUGGCAUUGACGAAUAUUCCCCGACUAGGAGAGGACAGAGGCAUGUGCGUGGUAGACGUUCGACGUCUAAUUGAUAGGAAUAAUCUUCUUCGGAUUUAUUUAUGCUAUUAGUCUUGAAUAGGAGAGGACACAGGCAUAUGCCAUUUUAGUUUUUGAAUCUGUGUUGAAAUUGAUUUCCCUCAACAUCUGUAGAUGCGAUAAACUGUUUUGUCGUGGCAGUCUCUUUAUCGACUGCCAUGACUAUCUUAGUGGCUUCCUCUUUCAAUUGCUUCUUAAACUCAGCUUGAGAUUAUAUAUAACUAUAUUAUUUUGUUUUUAUAUUAUCAGUAUUCUUAUCAAUACAUAGUAAGCAAAGCACAGCACGACUUUAAUAAGCCAGAGAAGCUGUUGUUGAGAUGGAAUUGCCUGAUACUGUCAAUACAGCCAUGUACAAGGGGAGAUUAUGCACUAAUGGUGAAGUUAAGUCUCAGCUGGGAUAUGUUGAAACUGAUCCAUCUGGUCGAUAUGGUCGUGUAAGUGUUUUUCUUUGAUUCUCAUUUCCAAUCUUACUUAU